GGCGAACGCUGGCGGCGUGCCUAAUACAUGCAAGUUGAGCGCUGAAGGUUGGUACUUGUACCAACUGGAUGAGCAGCGAACGGGUGAGUAACGCGUGGGGAAUCUGCCUUUGAGCGGGGGACAACAUUUGGAAACGAAUGCUAAUACCGCAUAAAAACUUUAAACACAAGUUUUAAGUUUGAAAGAUGCAAUUGCAUCACUCAAAGAUGAUCCCGCGUUGUAUUAGCUAGUUGGUGAGGUAAAGGCUCACCAAGGCGAUGAUACAUAGCCGACCUGAGAGGGUGAUCGGCCACAUUGGGACUGAGACACGGCCCAAACUCCUACGGGAGGCAGCAGUAGGGAAUCUUCGGCAAUGGACGAAAGUCUGACCGAGCAACGCCGCGUGAGUGAAGAAGGUUUUCGGAUCGUAAAACUCUGUUGGUAGAGAAGGACGUUGGUGAGGGUGGAAAGCUCAUCAAGUGACGGUAACUACCCAGAAAGGGACGGCUAACUACGUG
rnacentral:rRNA from 1 species